GUUGUUGGCUGCUGCCAGGAGACAGCAGCAGUGGUUCGCAAGUUAGCAAAUGUGCUACAGGUCUUUUCGCAUCAAAAUAAUUAAAAUGUCAAUACAAUAGCUUUAGAACAUGGAUCCGUCACGUCUGGAAACGUUAUAAUAAUCCGAAUCGAUUGAAGAACAACGCAGCAUACACAUUUCAAACCCGGAAGUUUUGUUCAGCUAGCAUGCUAGCUUGUAGCAGCUAACCAGACACAAUGAGUGCCAAAUUCGGCCUGAUGAACUACAACAACGCCCGGAAGCAUCUGUCUAUCUCCAUCCCGUCGUCCAGCGAGGUCAUGAUGUCUCCGCACAUUAAGUCUGUGGAGGAGCUGAGAGUGCUAGGCAUCAACCUGAGCAGCUUCAACACAGCUACCCAGUUCUGCAUCUGCACGGCGGGUGUCUUCCUCUUUUACCUCAUCUAUGGCUACCUACAAGAGCUCAUAUUUUCCGUGGAGGGUUUCAAGCCCUUCGGAUGGUACCUCACCCUGGUACAGUUUGGGUUCUACUCCCUGUUUGGACUGGUGGAAUUGCAGCUCACACAGGACAAACGGAGAAGAAUACCAGGGAAGACCUACAUGAUCAUAGCAUUUCUAACGGUGGGGACCAUGGGCCUAUCAAACACCUCACUGGGUUACUUGAAUUAUCCUACACAGGUCAUCUUCAAGUGCUGCAAACUCAUUCCUGUCAUGAUAGGAGGCAUAUUCAUUCAAGGGAAACGCUACAAUCUGGCUGAUGUAUCUGCUGCUCUCUGUAUGAGCCUGGGACUCAUCUGGUUCACCCUAGCUGACAGUAAAGUCGCCCCCAACUUCAAUGCAACCGGGGUCCUCCUCAUCUCUCUGGCUCUAUGCGCUGAUGCUGCCAUUGGGAACGUGCAGGAGAAAGCCAUGAAGCUCCAUAACGGUUCUAACUCUGAAAUGGUUUUGUAUUCCUAUUCCAUCGGUUUUGGGUACAUAUUGACAGGCCUGUUGGGUGCAGGUGGAUUGGGACCAGCAGUGGCCUUUUGCUCUCAGCAUCCUGUGACAACAUACGGUUAUGCAUUCUUCUUCUCUCUCACGGGGUACUUUGGCAUUUCAUUUGUGCUGGCCUUGAUCAAACUCUUUGGAGCAUUGGUCGCAGUCACAGUAACGACUGGGCGUAAGGCGAUGACGAUUGUACUAUCCUUUAUGUUUUUCUCCAAGCCUUUUACUUUUCAGUACCUAUGGGGUGGACUUUUAGUGCUGUUCGGUAUCUUCCUGAAUGUUUACAGCAAAAACAAAGACAAAAUGAAGCUGCCAUCUUUGGCGGACCUCAGGAAUAUGUUUAUGACCGGGAAGAAGGUCAGGCUGCUAUCACAGAACGUGUAGUAAAAGGGACCUGUGGUGGGCACGAUAAACAAACAUUUUCCUAACGUUCCUAUCUAACAUGGACCUAAUAACAGUGGGCUCCUAAGACAUUCCUUGGCCACAGAGCUCCACAGAAACAUUCCAUGUGGAAGAAAGUGGAUACGGAGCACCUGAGAGACUCUGAAAGGGAAGCUGACUCCUUAGCUAACCCUAAUAGCACAGUUCUGCACUUGUAAGUGGCUAGCUUGCCAGAGCCGUCUCUUAUCCAUUGGCUACAGAGGGGGAGUUGAACGGCUGCCAAGGAUCUUCUCAGAUGUUUACCCAUCAGAUGGCCCCGGGCUUGUUUGAUUAGUUAUCCUAGAAUAGGAUAGCACUAGAAAGAAAACAAACAUUGUUCACAGGGCUUGGCUUUAGACCUAAUUUGGAUGAGCGGAGCGUCACGUGUGUGUCAAGGUAACAUUAGCUAGAUUGGGUCCCUUCUAUGAAAUGGUGAUGCUGCAACCAACACCUGGGUUUUUAUUGGGGUGGAGAGUGAUUACUUCAUUUUAUUACUCUGAUUUGGGGGGUUGAUAAUCCCAUGCUACCUUUAGCAAAUCGUCCGUUGAUCAUUUAGAUCCAGUUGUUUUAGGUGACAAAAAUACAUCCUGGCUUCUUCCGUAACUGCUAUCCCCAAAGGAAAGAAAUCUGUGUGUAGCCUAUAGUGUUGGGAUACAUAUGGCUUCCAUAGAAGACAACGCGGCUGUGCACAGGUUGUCAUCUCCCAGGAGGUCUAGACCUGUCUAGCCCCGUUCACUUAAGCUGGUACAGUUAUGUCUGUUUUCCACAAAAGACCCUUUGAUGUGCCACCACUACUGCCUUGUGAACAAACAGCUCCAGUCAGGUAAAGAAAAGCAGGAAGAUCAAGACAGUCACUGUGUCCUCCCUAAAAAAUAGCCCUAGCCCUCAAAGGUAGCAGGCUCACCAAGACCCUAAUAACUAUCUGGUUUCCCUCAUGUCUCUGUUUUAAUAUUUCAGUAUACUGUAACUGGAUAGGGUAUUAAAGGUUGUGCCGAUACAUAUCCGUAGUAGUCAGCUAAUUAAAAUAGUUUCAGCAGAAACAUGAGUCAUUUUAGUUUGUAAAUCAUUUAAAGCAACAACAUUGCAUAUUUACCAUCAAAGAGUUGGCCCUAUUUUAUUUGUAAUUCAUUCUUUGAAAAUCAAGGGGCAUGUUUCAUCAGAAUCAAUCUUACAGAUUCCACCUAACCAUCUACUGUAGCAUGCUUCAGUGACGUGGCUGGCUUAUUGGCUGACAUUUUAGGAUCUCCAUCAGCAGGCUCGGCAUAGAGUAGAUGAGUGGGGAAAUGUUUUCAAAGUCUUUAGGUUUGUCCUUCAUGAUGUGCCUUGCUGGCACUCGUCCUCUGUAGCUUGGUGGGAAAUUAUAAUAUUUGCCAGCUCUGUAGGGGGCGGGAUCGUGCUCUGUUAGUGGUCUAAUGGAAGUGGAGAUAUUACAAGCUGACAUCUAGGCAGGAAAGCAACACAGGGCAAUUAGUAAUUCGGUAUUUCAUAAAAGCUGGCAGCUUCUCAGCGUUGACAAAGUGACAGACCCUCCUCAAGGGUCUAGUGGCUCCAAGCUACAAUGGAACACUCACAGUACUGCUCAUUUCGGUUCAUCUCAGAGCGGCAUGGCUUGCACAAAUGUCUGCCACCCUCUAUUUCCUGCAAAAUACAAAUCGAUUGAAGAGAUAUGUUGCAGAUUCUUUAGAACAUGAUGCACAUUUUUUAUGGUGUUCUUUUUAUUUGAACUACACCAGAAUAAUUGUUCUUUAAUGUAUCCUUGUCAAAAUAUUUGAUAUAUUUUUGAUGUGAUGCUCCUGUGACUUCACACAAUGUAACAACCGUGAAUAUAAUUCACUGUAGGUUGAGUGGCUGGUAUUAUGAUGUUACGCCUUAGACCUCUAUUAUAAACCGUUGGGUUGCAGUAGCCUAUACUUCAUUCCAUGCUGCUGAGGGAGGGGGCAGUAGUAGUUCUUCCAUCUCUCUGAAAGGUCAUUAUGGGAUAGCAAACCCCAGUUGACCCACGGCAAACUACACCAUUUGUCUUAUAGCACCAUGAGAACUCUAACAAAGGAGGCUAACCCCCAGUUUGAAAUGCAACGUUUUAUUCAUCUAUCAAACGUUGCAUAUUUCGACUUUGGUGUCCCUGUGCACUUCGUGUGAACAGAUCCUAUUUAUCAUAAGAUCACAUGGAGAGAGAUUGUAAGCUCACAAAAGUAGUAUUGUGUAAUAUACACCAAUACCACCUUUAAUCCAAAUAUAGGACCACCACUGGUAAGAAACAACCUCCCAGAGGUUUUCAAACCAACACAUUCCUCUGAGUAACCACUCAAUUAAUGGACACAUAGCACUAGGAGUACAGGGCUCUCUGUCUUUGUUAUUGCCUCUCUUUUUUCCUCCUUUCCCUCUCUCUCACACUCACCUCCUCUCCCUCUUAUCGUCACCCGUUUACCUGGGUUCAGUGACCUCUGCGCCGUUCUGCUGGCCCCUCCUAAUAAAUAAUGGGAGGUGUCUGAAGCUCAUCACAACAGCAAAUAGGGUGGUAUGUAAUAUAUUGUCCUCUUCAAAUUGCCACAGCGGGGUGGUCUGGCAGCCUAUUCAUUACGACUCUUGGUUCAGGCCAGGGGGAGCAGCCAUUUUCGUCCUUGGGCCUGGGUGGGUGAGAGAGGCUGAAUGGAGUGUGGAAGUACUGGAAUGCUGGCCUACCCAACCUGGUCUCAGAGCAUUUUGUAUUAUUCUGUACGUAAAUCCGAGACACUCCAUUUAGUGUGCUAUGUCACGUUUUGUAUGGAAUGUAUUAAUUGGUUGUCCAUCACUCAUUUCGUACAAUAUGUAACGAAUUUGCAAAAUGUAAUAUAUGUUACGAAUUUGCCAAAUUGAAAUGAUAGAUUAGUCGGUGGAUGGCUUGGGUAUGAUCUCUGGAGACUGGCGAGGAUAAUGUUAAGUUAUUAAAUGGAAUGAUAAGGAAGCAUUUAGUAAAUGAGACUUAGUACUUAAUUUAGGUUGCCAUUUGUACUGUGUAGGGAAAGAAAAGUCAACGCAGAAGUGUCCUAUCAUGUCCUAUCGCCAGCAGCAUACCACCCUGCAUACCACUGCUGGCUUGCUUCUGAAGCUA